GACCCACAAACAAAGAAGCAGAGAGGAGACUUAAUGUUUGAAAUGUUUCAACCUGUGGGAAAACCAAGUGCCUUGUGAAUAUUCCGCAAAGAACAGAAACGAUAUAAUAUCAUUUUAUUACCAUCACAAUUCAUAGUUUAUUAAAUGCUUCCAUUUUCCAUGCCUUGCUAAGUGCUUUGGAUCCCUUAUUAAAAUGUAUCCUUAUGACAACUCUCUGGGGCAAGUUCAAUCAUUCCUCUUUGAUAGGUGAAAAAACUAAGGUUUACAGAGGUUGUAGCGCUCUGCGAGGGUACAACCAAUAAUUAUUAGAAGCAGAAUUUGAAUCUCUAUUUGUUUGACUACAAAGAAUAAGAAUGUGCAUCAUGGUAGGUGUACUUAGUUGAAUGCUAGAAAGUAGUGGAUGCUGCUGUGGGAGAACUUGGCUUACAGCAGAAAGUGACUCCCAAAGAGAGCCUCGAGACAGGUGGGUGGAGAAGAGCAGCAGUGUCCUGAGAAUGCGUUCACAGCUUGGCAACACUUUAUGGCCAGAUCAAAAGAUUCCUAAGCCAGGCGUGGUGGCGCACGCCUGUAGUCCCAGCUAGUUGGGAGGCUAAGGCGGAAGAAUCGCUUGAACCCAGGAGGCAGAGGUUGCUGUGAGUUGAGAUCGGGACACUGCACUCGUCUAGCCUGGGUGACAGAGUGAGACUACAUCUAAAAAAGAAAAGAUUUCUAGUCCAGUUUUGUCUUAUUUUUCUGGAGGCAUAGAUACUAGGUAGCUGGUAAAGUGGGCUUGGUUAGACCUUUAUUUUAGGGUGUAUGGAGAGGUUUAGACUGCCCUAAAUCUGGCAACUGUGUUAUGGCACGAGGUCAUCAACAUCACAGAAUUUAAAUGACAUUACUUCCAGAGUACUGUUAAAAAGGACCUGGACCGUAGACAGACCCCAGGUUCUUGAUCCUGUUUCCUCUUUCUCACAUCAUCUGUGGAGGAUAGAGGCAGCUGACUUUCAGAGAAACUGCUUGGAUAGACUGCAGGACAGAAGGAGAAUACACUCUAGUAAGCCUUAAGUGAUGUGCUUUGCCUACCUAAUUCUGUGAAAGAGAAGUGACAGAUACUCAGCAUUGAGAAAUUGAUCAGAUUAUUUAUAACAAAAUGGGAAGAGACUGGAGACUAGGAGAUGAAGAGACACAUUUUCAGUCAAUGACAGAUGCAAGACAUCAUAGAACAAUCUUUUAGGAUUUGCAUAUUGAUUAGUACUGGGGACAUUUUACAUAUAUAUGUAAAAUACAUAUGUAAAUAUACAUAUGUGUGUAUGUCUAUAUAUACACACAUAUACACACAAAUACACAUACACAUAUACACACAAAUAUAUAUACAGACAUCCCAAUAGCAUGCUUUUUGAAAAUAGCAGAAGGGAAUGUGAUCUUGAAUUCUUGGAGAACCUUUUCCUUGAAAUCCAUAAUCCCUGAAAAUAAUUUUCAUCAGUUAAAGUGUAUGUUCUAAAAACUUUUAGCUCCUUUGGACUAUCUGACUCCCAAUUGAAUCUUUCCUCUCUGACUCAUUGCCAUGUUAUUUCCAUAUUGGUUUUCCUAACAUUAUUUUUGUUAGGAAAUAACAAAAUGUUCAGAGUGUCAGGAUGUUGAAGUCACCUGUGCAAAAAGUCAAAAUACCUUAUCAUUGAAAUCAAUACUUUUCACAAGCUAGUUUCAGCCUACAUUUCAGGUUUAUUUCUACAGUUUCCCUGUAUAAGUUCUCUAGUUCAAGCAAAAGGGUCAAUUUAUUGUUUCUGACCCUUGCUUAAAGUGUUAUUUUCACCUGUAAUGCCUCCAGUAUUUUCUUUACCUGUUGGAAUGCCAGUUGGAAGCCAGAUUGAUGGCCUGCAAUUAUAAACUGUAGCAGGCAACAGACAAAGUGCAGUUUGGCUUGGAAAGUAAUUGAGGUCAUAAAUAGCAGUAGUUUCAGAGUGGAUGAACUAAAGAGGUUCACGUGUUACAUGUGCAGAAACACUAAGGCAAGCCUUGGUCCACUGGGUCAGAGAGAUUGGAAUAGAAUCAGUCAGUACCCUGGAUAGCUCCCAGGAAUACAAAACUGAGUGCUGACAAGGUUCUAUACUUUGAGUUGUACACCUACUCAACUGCAGACUCAUAUUAUCUGCACUCUUUUUUCUUAAAAAGGCCACUGUCAUUUUCCCCUAAGCUUAGCAACUAUAGAUGCCGAGACUCAUGCUAAUAUUGCCCUUCUUCUUUCCUGACCUAUGCCUCACACUCACGUGGGGUCCCUGAUUAUGCCAAAGAAUUUAUCUUCCAUUUUAUUGCAUGAGAGGUUCUCUAGGGAUUUUGUCUUUCUUGGGGCAGAGAUAGAGACUGGACUUCUGCUAACUCUCCAUUGAGUCUUGGCUUUUUUUUUUUUUUUCUUUCCUAUAUGGCAUUUCAUUAUCCUGUCAACACUGUGAGCAGGUUAAAAUUUUGCCCAUUUUUCAAGAUUAAGCCCCACCCACCUUUGCUUUGAUCUUUCCACUAACCAGUCCAAUGUAAAAGUAGCUCUCUCUAAUCUUAACUAGAACACUUUGUAGUGUUUAUAGUCAUUAAUUUCAGUAUUAAUGAUAUUCUGUUUUGUAUACACUAUCUUUUUAUCUCUCUGUGUUAUCAGCUUUCCAAUUGGUUUGGAUGCUUUUUGGGGGCAUGCUUCUUAGCAACAGGGCUUCCCAAUGGUAAGGACCCACUGAAGAUGCACUGCAGAUUAUUGCAUGAACUAUAUUUUUUCUGGGAAAGACAGAACAGUUUUCUGAUAGGCAUAGUAGCCCUUUUAAAUUAUGUGUAAAAUAUAUUUCUUGAAGUUGCUAUUAUUUCUGGAAGCCUUCUCCUUGUUGUGGUGUAAUGAAUAUAGCAUGGACUGUUGUGAGCCAGAGAGACCUGAGUUUGCAUUCUUAUUUCACCACUUAUAACUGUGACUUUGGGCAAGUUACUUCAUCCCCUUGAUCAUGGUUUCUGCAUCUGUAAGUGUGAAAACAGAAUUUACUGUAUAUGGUAUUUUAAAGAUUAAAUACCAUAUACAGUAUAUUGAGAUAUUGUAUGUAAAGGGUCUUGAUCACUUGACACAGAAUGAGAGGCUUGAUUCAUAUUGAUACCUUUUACUUUUUAAACAUCUGUGGCUCUUGUUUUUUAAUAAAACUUUUCUGAGGGUCUUAAAAACACCACCUUUACCUGUUUUCCACCCGUGUGCUCACUGAGUCCUUGAUCUUGGUGAAGGACUUAUCUUUCACUCCCAUUUAUUCCUAGAAUUAGGCUUUUUCUUUGAUACAAGGUUGAGACUUAGUUGCUAUAUUCAUCAUUCAAAAAAACGGACCUUUAAGCUUUCUGCUGUAUUUAUUGGAGUGGGAGAAUUUUUGUGGAAAUCAGGGUGAAGUACAUUUGCUCUUGUUUUUUUUAUUUAUAGAAAGCCUCAUUAUCAAGCAGCCUGAAAGAGUGCAGUCUAUGAGACUCCAAGAAAAUUAAAUGCUUGUGACAAACAGAGUCCUCAGGACACACAGUGGGCAGCCCAGUCUUCAUUGCUUGCAAGUGGCUGAUUCUCAGAUACUGCAAGAGAAAAGUCUUAGAAUAAAUCUGAAUAUUUAUGAAAGAAAACCAAAGCAUUUUAGCUGGGCUUCCAUCUCUUUAAACAAUACCAGUCACAGAAAUGUGGUUUCAUAGUCAUUUAAAAUACAGUUUACAGAGGAAUUAAGCUAAACCACUUAAGCUCUCCAAGCAGCUGUGCUUUCUCAGCUUCCUUACUGAGAUUUGCUUGCAGAACAUCCGCUUUGAAAUCAGCAGCUCAGUCAAAGACAGAGUUGUUGAUCUCUGAGCUACUUGCUUUUUCUUGUCCCACACUUCUCAGGUAAUACAAAACAGUGGAAAAAUAUUGGGACAUGAGCACAUAUCCUUGCCCCAUGUUUUCAUGUUUGAAGCAGCCUUACUCUCAUGAGUUUCAGUGAGUACCUGAAAAUGAGUUGAGGUCACACAGUGCAUGCUUUCGUAAGCCAUCAUAUAAUUGCCAGAAUGACCCUGUACAUUUUGGGGGAAACGUUAGGGCUUCUGUCUUCCAGGAGAAUAAUCUGGCACUCAAAGCUGUGCACAGUAUGCCUAACCUCCUCUCACUUGCACAAGGGAGCCCUUGGCCUCAGCCAGUUUAGUUUCCGCAUUCUUCUCUAAGGUCAAAUCACAUUCCUGUCCCUGCAUUCUUGCUCUUCCCUACUCUUCCAGUGACAUUCCCUCUACUGUUUAGCCCCAACGCCACCCAUUCCGCUACUGAAAGCCCAAGACUCAUCUCCGCAAAUAGUUCCUACAGCCCCUUCAGUGCAGGUUCCCGUCCUCAUUCUCUGCCUUACAGCACGACUGUAUCGGUUCGCGUGGUCCUUGUUUUCAAGCAGACCAUAGGGCAGUCUACUUGAGAGAAAGUGUGUCUCAAUCAACUUUUUUUUUUUUUUGGUCUCAGAAAAUGUUUCAUAUAUAUGAACUCAGUGAAUAAUGUUUUAACAGGUUAUCAGAUGGAAAAGUAGAAAAGCAUUGUCAAAUUGAGCUCAAUUUUUUGAAAAAAAAUGAAUAGUAAGAAAUAAAUGGAAUGAAAACAAUACUUGGAAAUUAUGUAAGUGAAUUCAACUAAAUGUGACAGACGGAAAUUGAAAUUGUUAAGUUUUAUUUACUUUUUAUAACUAACAUAUUUUAAUGAAUAAAAAAUAGUGUUUAGGUGUUGGAAAAUUUAGUUACGCAGUCUAUGGGUAUCUUAUUUAAGGAACAAAAUCACAAAAUGCUCUUUUAAUGUUAAACAACCGUGCGAGAAGAUGGAGACUACCCAUGGAAGGAAACUGCUCUUAAUAGAGUUUAACAAAAAUGUGUGUAUCAUAUACUUAUUUUCAUAAAACAAUUUAAAAAAUUUAUAGAACUGUAUCAUGGAGCUCUCUAGCUUCGCAAAUCAGCUGUUUUCCCACAUUUCAUUCUACAAGCAAGCAUUUGGCACCUGAAUAGCGAUCUAUAGAUUUAACAUCUAUUGUGCUAUACCCAUAAAUAUCAAAGAUUGAAGAAACACUGGUAGGCACUAAUGAUGAGACCAUUAAAAGAGUUUUGA